ensembl:lncRNA
ACCUGACCUGUGACCAUGAUGUGAGAAGAUUACUGCCGGAGGCUGGGAAGCCUUGGGUGGCCAACUGGGGUUUUGGUCUGGACCGGUUGCCCUUUCAGCCUGGAGGUGGCUACAGACUGUUCUCUGAAGUAGUGUCAGUGUCUCUGGACUCCUGUCUGAGCUGUGAUCUUAAGGGCCUCUUCUAAGAUGGAUUCAAAUUCAUCAAUCUCAAAAGAAGCACACCUGACUAUGUGUGACUAAGAGAAAUGAUCAAGACACAGAGGAUCCUGGGAGUGUUGAAAUAUCCAGAAGCAGCCUCUUCGAGCCUCCAAGGAUGUCUGCAGAUCCAGGUUCCAUGGAAGGCGAUGCCUGUAAUCAUUUCUGUCCAUGAUGUUGGGAGUUCAUUCAGCUAUCAUUUGGUGGGUACCAGAGUCUGUGCGAUCAAUCCAAGUAUUUGCACUGUGGGUCAUCCCACUCUAGAUUUAGAAAUGUAAUGACUCUUCUCUAUGUACAGACUGAUGGAUUUGGUCGUGGAUAUUAGGGCUGUUGGCAUACCUCUGUCUGCCCAGCUGUACAUCCGGGGGUUGAUUCAUGUUUGCUUGUUUGCUGCCAAAAGAUCUGGUCCCUUGCCUCUAAGUUCUCCUUAGCCUAAUAAUCAACCUUGAUUCUUCUUGGUUAGGACAGCGCUGCCCACAGAAUUUGGAUGACCCUGAACAUAGAGUAGAGGUCAUGCUUUUUCUCCUAUAUCACUGAAGGAAUAAGGCAAGAAGGCUAAGACUUACUAUGUUGAACUGAAAUAUUGUUUGAAGAUGUCUGAAACUUUGUUAGGUAAUACACAUAGCCAAUUAGGCAGAGGCAUAUUUUUUUAAAAAUUGGCACUGCUUCAUAAACAGAUUCAAUUCAAUGGUCUUCUGAUAAUUUUAAAAUAACAUUCAUCAAUUGCAUCUGUAUUUUCACAAGAAGCAAUUGGAUCCAUUGGUGCAUUUGAACUGGAGAACCUACCUUUAGGAGUAAAUCCUUCUUUGAUAAUCUAUUAUCUAGUAUGAUUACAUCAUGGAUCACCCAAGCUGAAUUUGUAAGAUACAUGGUUCCAUGAGUGAAUUAAAAGAUAUGGGAUAUGGCCUUAGACUGGGGAAAUUUCUCCUUCAAUACAUUUACGGAGAUCUACUACAUACCAAGCACUGCGCUAGAUUCUGGGCUAGAGCUGUGAACAAAGUGAGGCAGGGGACUGUGUGCCUAGCCUUACAUAGGCACACCUUGGGUUCCCAUUGCCAGUGUUGACCUCCUGUCUCUGCUGCUUUGGUGCCCUCACUCUGGGAGGCUCGCUUAACCCCAGGAGGUCUUAGUUUCUCAUCUAUGAAACAGGUAAAAAGAAGCACUCGUCCUAUGGGAUUCAGUGAGAAGAUUGUAAUAAUUACUUGCAUGACUAGAGCUUGGCAGAGUAAGGCUACUGCAGAAUUUCAAUGAUUAGUUGUUGCAGAAAUAUUACUGACAGUUUGAGCAUGCAUUCAUCCCCCUGCUGGUUUAAUCAUUCAUUUCUUCCCUCAUUCAUUCAUUCAACAAAAGGUCAUUAAGAAAGUUCUACUCUUGCUGCCACUGUGCUCUAGGAAUCAGUGAUGAACAGGACAGAUCUGGUACCUGCUCUCAGGAAUUUAUAGUUUCGCUGUGCAAACAGACGAUAAGCACAUUACUGAUGUUGUCAAUCCAACACGUGGAGACAAACUGGGUGUUUGGAAACAGGUAUCGCUUUUGAUUAUGGCAUUGAAACCAGGCAAUGCAAGUCAGAAGGUUGUAAAGUGGGAAGUAUGUGUAUGUGUACACUCACAUACACACACACGGAUGUGUGCAUUUUAUGUAAUUUUACAUUUCUAAUUUCCACUUUCAUGAGACAGAGUGGUGGUUCAGAGUACACAGUUCUCUGUAGCCUGGAUGCCCAGAUUUGAAACCCAGCCUGCCCCUCAUUAACUCUGUAAUGGGGCGCAAAUUAUUUAACUUCUCUC